GGGAGUUGUUUCCUUUGCAGAUGGAUCCCAGCCAUAUCUAUAUGUAGAGGAAGUUUGAGGGAAGUGACCGGGUCCUGUGUCACCAGCCAGGCUGAUGGAAGGUCCCCUGCACUGGGAACACUCCCAGGAAGAAGAUGGGGACCCCAGUGAGGAUAAUGAUGAUGCCGACCCCACAGACCAUGGGCUCCGAGAUGAAGCUGAAGACCAGGAGGAAUGCCCAGAACACCAAGUACACAACAGGAAUGAGGAGGUUCACCUAUCGGAGAAAGGAUGAACAGGAGCACCAGGGGCAGCACCCUAGUUCUCCUGCCACCCAGGGGAUCAGAGGCCCUUCCUCCAUCUCUUGGGAAUGGGGCCCCUGUGCUGACCCCCUGGUAGCUACCCAGUGCACUGGAGAGCAAUUCCUGGGUUGACCAGUUGGCCGAACUGCUGAUGCUGUCUAUUUGAGCAGUGCUGAGCUAUCUGUAACAGUUAUACACAGAAGGCUGUUUACAUUUGGCUGCAGCUCAACUAUUUUUCCAUGCUUCAAAUUUCAGGCAAUCUUCAGGAUUCAUAUACAGAUGGGAGGCUUUUCUGUCACUCUUUCAAGUGGGAUCAUGAGAAUACCAGGCUCUCUCAUUGGCAGCCUAUGUGACCUUAGUCUCAUUGCCCCUGUCUGAGGACUGGGGAUAUUAAAAGCACUUGCUUCCUGGGA
rnacentral:lncRNA from 1 species